rnacentral:tRNA from 1 species
AUUACUUUGGCAGAUUAGUGUGGUAAAUUUAGAAUUUAUUUAUGUAAGGUUUUUACAAGUAAUA